UAACGGCCGCGGUAUCCUAACCGUGCAAAGGUAGCGUAAUCACUUGUCCCCUAACUAGAGACUAGUAUGAACGGCUAAAUGAGGGCCUAACUGUCUCCUGAGGCCAAUCAAUGAACCUGAUCUCCCAGUACAAAAGCUGGAAUCAACACAUAAGACGAGAAGACCCUGUGGAGCUUCAAACAACACCGCUACAAACCUAUAAAAACCAGAUCCAACACAAGGAUACACUACCCUACACAAUAUUUAGUGGUAGUUUUAAGUUGGGGCGACUGCGGAGUAAAAUAAAACCUCCACUAACCAGGGCCACCCCCACCCUAGACCAACACAUCAAAGAAGUAAAACACUACGACCCAGUACCACUGAUCACCGAACCAAGUUACCCCAGGGAUAACAGCGCUAUCCUCUCCAAGAGUCCAUAUCGACAAGAGGGUUUACGACCUCGAUGUUGGAUCAGGGCCCCCUGGUGGUGCAGCCGCUACCAAAGGUUCGUUUGUUCAACGAUUAAUGCCCUAC
rnacentral:rRNA from 1 species